rnacentral:tRNA from 2 species
GGGGGUGUAGCUCAGUGGUAGAGCGCAUGCUUAGCAUGCCUGAGGCCCUGGGUUCGAUCCCCAGCACCUCCA